rnacentral:rRNA from 1 species
GAUGAACGCUGGCGGCGUGCCUAAUACAUGCAAGUCGAGCGAACAGACGAGGAGCUUGCUCCUCUGACGUUAGCGGCGGACGGGUGAGUAACACGUGUAUACCCUACCUAUAAGACUGGGAUAACUUCGGGACACCGGAGCUAAUACCGGAUAAUAUAUUGCACCGCAUGGUUCAAUAGUGAAAGUCGGUGUUGCUGUCUCUAAUCGAUGGAUCCGCGCCGCAUUAGCUAGUUGGUGAGGUAACGGCUUACCAAGGCGACGAUGCGUAGCCGACGUGAGAGAGUGAUCGGCGACACUGGAACGGAGACACGGUCCAGACUCCUACGGGAGGCAGCAGUAGGGAAUCUUCCGCAAUGGGCGAAAGCCUGACAGAGCAACGCCGCGUGAGUGAUGAAGGUGUUCGGAUCGUAAAACUCUGUUAUUAGGUAAGAACAAAUGUGUAAGUAACUAUGCACGUCUUGACGGUACCUAGUCAGAAAGCCACGGCUAACUACGUG